rnacentral:rRNA from 1 species
UGAGGAAUAUUGGUCAAUGGGCGAGAGCCUGAACCAGCCAAGUAGCGUGCAGGAUGACGGCCCUAUGGGUUGUAAACUGCUUUUAUGCGGGGAUAAAGUGAGGCACGUGUCCCUUUUUGUAUGUACCAGUAUGAAUAAGGACCGGCUAAUUCCGUG